rnacentral:rRNA from 1 species
GAUGAACGCUGGCGGCGUGCCUAAUACAUGCAAGUCGAGCGAACAGACGAGGAGCUUGCUCCUCUGACGUUAGCGGCGGACGGGUGAGUAACACGUGGAUAACCUACCUAUAAGACUGGGAUAACUUCGGGAAACCGGAGCUAAUACCGGAUAAUAUAUUGAACCGCAUGGUUCAAUAGUGACAGACGGUUUUGCUGUCAAUUAUAGAUGGAUCCGCGCCGCACUAGCUAGUUGGUAAGGUAACGGCUUACCAAGGCAACGAUGCGUAGCCGACCUGAGAGGGUGAUCGGCCACACUGGAACUGAGACACGGUCCAGACUCCUACGGGAGGCAGCAGUAGGGAAUCUUCCGCAAUGGGCGAAAGCUUGACGGAGCAACGCCGCGUGAGUGAUGAAGGUCUUCGGAUCGUAAAACUCUGUUAUUAGGGAAGAACAAAUGUGUAAGUAACUAUGCACUUCUUGACGGUACCUAAUCAGAAAGCCACGGCUAACUACGUG